GAUAGUCGAACCUCGGAUUCAGGAGGAACAGUGUGGUUUUCGUCCUGGUCGUGGAACUGUGGACCAGCUCUAUACUCUCGGCAGGGUUCUUGAGGGUGCACGGGAGUUUGCCCAACCAGUCUACAUGUGCUCGGGAAGUCCUGUGGGGAGUGCUCAGAGAGUAUGGGGUAUCGGACUGUCUUAUUGUGGCGGUCCGUUCCCUGUACGAUCAGUGUCAGAGCUUGGUCCGCAUUGCCGGCAGUAAGUCGAACACAUUUCCAGUGAGGGUUGGACUCCGCCAAGGCUGUCCUUUGUCACCGAUUCUGUUCAUAACUUUUAUGGACAGAAUUUAUGGACACGAUUUCAAUAGUACUUCCCAUUGUGUUGCUGUUGAUAUUUUUACCUCAAAACAUGUACUAUCAAAGUAUCAACAUUUUGAUUUGAAAAUCAAUUUUAGAGCAUUAAGAUCUGGCACUCCUUUUAUUGAUAUUCAAGUAUCAUUCCGCACAUCUUAACUAGUCUGAAGUUGCCAAGUACUCAUGUAUGGACGACCCACCUCCGGCUACACGAUCACCUGGCCGCCGCAGCUACAUCCAUCCUACUGGUCUCUUUUUGAUGACAAGAUGUGGAGUUGACUGUUCAUAUCAUCCAGCUGUUGAUGGCCUAUUUUGAUGAAAGAAGAGGUGCACUGAUACUUCUUGCAGAUAUGUCUGCCACUGCAGGCGAUGUGGAGCGGACACUGACCCUCCUGAUCAGUCCACGACUGACACUGCUAGUUGCUGGUGACAAAGUCACAAUAAAACGUUAGAUGAUCAGCAUGGAAGGUGAUGUCAUCUGCGAAGGCGUCCAACCUAGCUUCAUCUAAGGGCUUGCUGCCCUUCUUGCCACCUACUAUGUGUUCAACUUGGAAUACCAAGAGGAAGGUGCUCGGACAUUGGAAUUUGUUCAAAGGCGAUUCAUUGGCAUUAACCCUGAGAGGGGAACAAAUGCUAGCCAGGGUAAGGUGGUGUCCAAGAAGACCGGGAAGCUGGUCCAGAAAAAGGCAGCAACUGUAAAUCCUCACGUACUUACUUACUUAGGCCCAUCGCUCCCAAUGGAGCAUAGGCCAUCAAUGACUCCUCUCCAUGCAGCACGGUUUUGGGCUGUCCUUUCCGCCUCUCCCCAGCUGGUUCCCAACCUCUUCAGCCCCGCCUCAGAGUCCCGCCUCCAGGUGUUUUUAGGCCGUCCCCUCUUCCUCUUUCCCUGUGGGUUCCACGUCAAGGCUUGCCGUGUGAUGGUAGUUGCUGGUUUCCUAAGGGUGUGCCCAACCCAACCCCACUUUCUCCUUAGUAUUUGUUUCUCCACUGGCUCCUGAUUCCCUUUCCUCCAGAGUUCCUCGUUGCUGAUUUUGUUUGGCCACCAAAUCCUGAAAAUCCUCUUCAGACAACUGUUAAUAAACGUUUGUAACCUUUGUACGGUCUUCUUUGUCAUCCUCCAUGUUUCAGAGCCUCACGUAGCCACCCUUAUAAAAAUUCUCACAGACUUUGGUGGGGCUUUAUGUUGCCCGACCACUGAACACUGGGUAUGCCAUGUUCAGUUAGUUUAGUCAAUUGUGCAGUUCAGUUUUGUUUUACAAAUUUUUCCAUUGCACAUGAUCCCAACUUGUUUUGUUCUAAAUGUUAAAAAUGUUCUUUGAAAAUGUGUGUGCCCUCUCUGAUUGUGAAGCAGAGCCACUAUGAAUGGAGGUGUGUGUGUGGGGGGGAUGUUUACAUCAUAUCCAAAUGGACAUUUUCAUUUUGAUCCUUUUGAUUGUUAUCUGGAUGUAGGAACCACGUUCUCUGAUGCCAUCGUUUGUUCCGGUUGCAGGAGUUGCUUAACAUUGUUUUAAAUAUUAAAAUGUUAAUUUAAAA